UUUGGAAUGAGGGUGUGAGCGACUGCAAAUUCCCAUCCUCCUUCUCAUCCCAGCCUGGUAGUAACACACAUUCUACGCCUAGCCUGGCUUUCUUACUCUCCCUCAUCUCAUUGUUUCAGAGGCCAAAUCCGAAGUUCUUUCCAGGGAGUGGCUCUGUUCACCUCAUUCUCCAGCCAAAGUAAGAACAGCAUAGGAGGAGAGAGACACAUUGAGCAGCCAAAGGAGUCGGCGGGAAGAGCAGAACACCAUAGACAAUAUGCUGCUUUUGGGAUCCAAGGUGCUGCUGUUUCUUGCUGCAUUCAUCAUCCCCUCUGAUUGGAUACUCCUGGGGGUCAACAGCCAACGAGGAGACGAUGUGACUCCAGUGACUCCAGAAACUUUCACAGAAGAUCCUAAUCUGGUGAAUGAUCCCGCUACAGAUGAAACAGGUAAGAUUUACUGU